GUGCCAGCAGCCGCGGUAAUACAGAGGGUGCGAGCGUUAAUCGGAAUUACUGGGCGUAAAGCGCGCGUAGGUGGUCUUGUAAGUCGGGUGUGAAAGCCCCGGGCUCAACCCGGGAACUGCAUUCGAGACUGCAGAACUAGAGUAUGGGAGAGGGCAGUGGAAUUUCCGGUGUAGCGGUGAAAUGCGUAGAUAUCGGAAGGAACACCAGUGGCGAAAGCGACUGCCUGGCCCAAUACUGACACUCAUGUGCGAAAGCGUGGGGAGCAAACAGGAUUAGAUACCCUAGUAGUCC
rnacentral:rRNA from 1 species